AUUGAACGCUGGCGGCAUGCCUUACACAUGCAAGUCGAACGGCAGCACGGGAGCAAUCCUGGUGGCGAGUGGCGAACGGGUGAGUAAAGUAUCGGAACGUGCCCAGUCGUGGGGGAUGACGUAGCGAAAGUUACGCUAAUACCGCAUACGAUCUAUGGAUGAAAGCGGGGGAUCGCAAGACCUCGCGCGAUUGGAGCGGCCGAUAUCAGAUUAGGUAGUUGGUGGGGUAAAGGCUCACCAAGCCGACGAUCUGUAGCUGGUCUGAGAGGACGACCAGCCACACUGGGACUGAGACGCGGCCCAGACUCCUACGGGAGGCAGCAGUGGGGAAUUUUGGACAAUGGGCGAAAGCCUGAUCCAGCCAUGCCGCGUGCAGGAUGAAGGCCUUCGGGUUGUAAACUGCUUUUGUACGGAACGAAAAGGUUUGGCCUAAUAAGCUGAGCUCAUGACGGUACCGUAAGAAUAAGCACCGGCUAACUACGUGCCAGCCGCCGCAGUAA
rnacentral:rRNA from 1 species